CGAACGCUGGCGGCGUGCUUAACACAUGCAAGUCGAACGGAAAGGCCCUGCUUUUGUGGGGUGCUCGAGUGGCGAACGGGUGAGUAACACGUUAGUAACCUGCCCUUGACUUUGGGAUAACUUCAGGAAACUGGGGCUAAUACCGGAUAGGAGCUCCUGCUGCAUGGUGGGGGUUGGAAAGUUUCGGCGGUUGGGGAUGGACUCGCGGCUUAUCAGCUUGUUGGUGGGGUAGUGGCUUACCAAGGCUUUGACGGGUAGCCGGCCUGAGAGGGUGACCAGCCACAUUGGGACUGAGAUACGGCCCAGACUCCUACGGGAGGCAGCAGUGGGGAAUAUUGCACAAUGGGCGGGAGCCUGAUGCAGCAACGCCGCGUGCGGGAUGACGGCCUUCGGGUUGUAAACCGCUUUCGCCUGUGACGAAGCGUGAGUGACGGUAAUGGGUAAAGAAGCACCGGCUAACUACGUG
rnacentral:rRNA from 1 species